GACGAACGCUGGCGGCGUGCUUAACACAUGCAAGUCGAACGGAAAGGCCUGCUUUCCCUUGUGGAUUGCGGGUACUCGGGUGGCAAACGGGUGAGUAACACGUGAGUGAUCUGCCCCCAACUUGGGUAUAAGCCUGGGAACCUGGGUCUAAUUCCCGAUAGCACUGCAGGGUGGUGCCUGUGGUUGAAAACGAUUUUCUAGUGGUUGGGGAUGAGCUCGCGGCCUAUCAGCUUGUUGGUGGGGUAAUGGCCUACCAAGGCGGCGACGGGUAGCCGGGCUGAGGAGGAGGACGUGGACAGUGGGACUGAGAAGCCGCACAGACUCCUACGCGCGGCAGCAGUGGGGAAGAGUGGACAAUGGGCGGAAUCCUGAUGCAGGGACGCCGGGUGGGGGAUGACGGGCUGCGGGUAGUAAACUCCUUUCGGGCGCGAGGAAGCCACCUGGUUGGAAGGGUAGUGACGGUAGUGGGAGAAGAAGCACCGGCUAACUACGUG
rnacentral:rRNA from 1 species